AUGCAAAAUAUUAGGAGUCGGCCGCUCAAUAUUUUCUUGCAAAUUCAUGAGUUAUCUGCUAUAUGGAAAGAUAGAGUCGCCAAAUUAAUUACGAAAAACCAUGCAUCGAUAGAAAAGCGUGCGAUCAUAACCUCUGAGGAUAGGGUGCACUUCAUGAGAUAUCUUCCCAUAUUUAUCUGCACCAUUGAUGAUGUCGCAAUCACCUUUUUUCUAACAACCCACUUUAAUAUUAUUCCUAUAUUGUCGUCUAUGUUAAAUUCAUCUCUUCCUUUGAUUCAGCCACACUUGAUAUUAUUUAUGGAAUAG
rnacentral:rRNA from 1 species